GGCAAGAUGGCCGAGCGGUCUAAGGCGCUGUGUUCAGGUUUCUUCUGAAGAAGCUUCGCAGUGGAGCAAUCCGCGCGAGUUCGAAUCUCGUUCUUGUCA
rnacentral:tRNA from 1 species